CUCCGUCCGCGAGUCCGCCAAGACUGGCUCUGGGCAACCUCUGCAGCCUCCCGGGUUGGAGGCUGGGCAGCGGUGGAGGCCGCUGGGUUUGGGGCUUUGCGCUGCCCGGUGGUGGAGCUGCGCUCGGGUGGUUAAUAGUGCCAGUCAGGGCAGGAGGAGCACCAACAACCCAGGCCGUGAGGGCCCUGGUAAAUCCCUGGACGGUGCAAGAACCUCAGGAUGUUUUGGGGACCUUGAGAAGAGGAAUUCGCCCAAAUCUACAGACAACUGCUUCCCUCAAUCAGCUAUUGUGUCUUUUCAGACCCCAUUAACAAACUCACUAGCUGUCCCUGCAGAAGCCUGGACUCAAGGUCAGCUGAUAAUGGUUCCAGCCUGUGAACAAACAAGGCUCUGCAUUCCUUACCGGAGACAACAAGUCUAAGACCCUAUCCAGAGAGAGAGAGAG